GUUCGCUCAGUUGGCUAGAGUGUGGUGCUGAUAAUGCCAAGGUUGUAGGUUUGAUUGCCGUGUGGGACA